AGCAGUAUAGCUCAGAUGGUUAGAGCAGUCGAUUUAUACUCGAAAGGUCAUAGGUUCGAUUCCUAUUACUGUUACCA
rnacentral:tRNA from 6 species